GUUCAAGAAAAUCACACCAAAGGGUCCUCAGCAGAUGGAGUUGCUCGGUUGUCAUGGAGCUGUAGAUGUUUAAAUAAAACAAACACUUGUUGUCCUUCGUGAAUGUAAAGCUCCAAACCAGCUAUUGAAUGGACCAUGUGCUCCACACAGGAAGAACACAGCUCAGGAAACACCAACAAACAAAGUCAAAUGGACACAUUAGGUUCAAGAAAAUCACACCAAAGGGUCCUCAGCAGAUGGAGUUGCUCGGUUGUCAUGGAGCUGUAGAUGUUUAAAUAAAACAAACACUUGUUGUCCUUCGUGAAUGUAAAGCUCCAAACCAGCUAUUGAAUGGACCAUGUGCUCCACACAGGAAGAACACAGCUCAGGAAACACCAACAAACAAAGUCAAAUGGACAGUGAGUAUAUAUUAUGCAAAUAUUCACUACACUGUAAAAAAAAAAACCGGAAAAAAACUGUAAAAGUCUGGCAGCUGGUGCUUCCAAAAACUUACCAUCAAAUUACAGUGAAAUACCCUAAUUACAAUAAUGGGAAAAAAACGUAAAUUCACAGUAAAUAUAAUUAAUUUCCUUUACAGAGAAACACUGUUAUUUUACAGGUUUCUUAACUCAAUUAUUACGGUCAAACACCUUCAAUAAAGUGACAGAACUUAAAGUUCAGCGGUGAAACACUGUUAUUUUACAGGUUUUCCCUCAAUUAUUACAGUCAAACACCUUCAAUAAAGUGACAGAACUUAAAGUUCAGCAGUGAAACACUGUUAUUUUACAGGUUUUCCCUCAAUUAUUACGGUCAAACACCUUCAAUAAAGUGACAGAACUUAAAGUUCAGCAGUGAAACACUGUUAUUUUACAGGUUUUCCCUCAAUUAUUACGGUCAAACACCGUCAAUAAAGUGACAGAACUUAAAGUUCAGCAGUGAAACACUGUUAUUUUACAGGUUUUCCCUCAAUUAUUACAGUCAAACACCUUCAAUAAAGUGACGCACCAAAAACUCAGCAGAGAAACACUGUUAUUUCACAGAAGACCAAACGCCUUCAAUAAAGUGUUAACACUUGCUCAAGGUUGUAAAAUAAGUUUUAUUUUGGAAGCAAGUGCUGUAAACAGCUAAAACAGAUAAAAUCAUUUCAAACUUUAGCUUGCAGUGUUUGUUUAGAUGUAAUGUUUAAAGACAGUAUGUAAUGUUAAACCUAUAGAAGUACAAUUCACCGGACAACAAUCCUCCAAAUUGGCAGUAAUCAGCUGGAUCCUUGGUGCAUCUGGGCUGGAACGAAAAACAGGAAAAAAGGACACUAUGAUUCACUGAAAAGUCCUUAAAAGUAUGAUGACCAUUGCUUUAAACAAACUUAAUUUAAAUGGUCUGUACCGAUAUUUGCCACUAUUACACAUUUGGGAAAUGUGAACGCAGAGUACUGUCAGCUUUGAGAGUGCUAGUUGUUAAAUGUUUAGCAAUAAAAUACCCCAUCAGAACAAUUUGAAUCACCAACAGAAGGAAGACAUGGAUUCACAACUCUGGACACCAAGCCCCCAGGACUUCUAAAUGAUAUACUAUAUUCAUACUGUGUGGUACGGUGGGUCAGGUACCCUGUUCCCAGGUGGGCUAUCUCGCUGGGGCCUUUCUGUGUGGAGUUUGUUCUCCCCAUGCUCACUUGGGUUUCCUCCUGCACCUGAGGUGUACCGGGCCCCCCACCACCCUGGCCGUUUACCACCAAGGAGUGGUUUUGGUGUAAAAUGAUUGCAAUCAAUUCAGAAUCAUGAAGAACCCCUGGUUUGACCCCUCACAAGCUACUUAUCCCUUGUGCAUUCGUUUCCUGUUAACUACCUGUGCCUUCUCGGUCAACAUUGACCGUUCCCUUAUAACUCAUUGUAAAUCCAUAAUAAUACAGAUAU